rnacentral:rRNA from 1 species
CCUACGGGAGGCAGCAGUGGGGAAUAUUGCACAAUGGGGGAAACCCUGAUGCAGCCACGCCGCGUUAGUGAAGACGUAUUUCGGUAUGUAAAGCUCUAUCAGCAGGGGAGAAAAUGACGGUACCUGAUUAAGAAGCCGCGGCUAACUACGUGCCAGCAGCCGCAGUAAUACGUAGGGGGCAAGCGUUAUCCGGAUUUACUGGGUGUAAAGGGAGCGUAGACGGCAGAACAAGUCUGGAGUGAAAUGCCGGGGCUUAACCCCGGAACUGCUUUGGAAACUGUGGAGCUAGAGUGCAGGAGAGGUAAGUGGAAUGCCUAGUGUAGCGGUGAAAUGCGUAGAUAUUAGGAGGAACACCAGUGGCGAAGGCGGCUUACUGGACUGUAACUGACGUUGAGGCUCGAAAGCGUGGGGAGCGAACAGGAUUAGAUACCCCAGUAGUC